rnacentral:rRNA from 1 species
CUGAUUUUUAUAGAGUAAAGAUAGAAAUAAAACUUAGUAAAAUCAGUAAAAAUAUUCUUAGGCUAAAGUUAAGUAGUUUAAGUUGUGUGCAAGUGGUAGGAGAGCGUUCUAUUUGCGUCGAAGGUAUACCGGUAAGGAGUGCUGGAGCGAAUAGAAGUGAGCAUGCAGGCAUGAGUAGCGAUAAUUAAUGUGAGAAUCAUUAACGCCGUAAACCCAAGGUUUCCUACGCGAUGCUCGUCAUCGUAGGGUUAGUCGGGUCCUAAGUCGAGUCCGAAAGGGGUAGACGAUGGCAAAUUGGUUAAUAUUCCAAUACCAACAUUAGUGUGCGAUGGAAGGACGCUUAGGGCUAAGGGGGCUAGCGGAUGGAAGUGCUAGUCUAAGGUCGUAGGAGGUUAUACAGGCAAAUCCGUAUAACAAUACUCCGAGAACUGAAAGGCUUUUUGAAGUCUUCGGAUGGAUAGAAGAACCCCUGAUGCCGUCGAGCCAAGAAAAGUUUCUAAGUUUAGCUAAUGUUGCCCGUACCGUAAACCGACACAGGUGGGUGGGAUGAGUAUUCUAAGGCGCGUGGAAGAACUCUCUUUAAGGAACUCUGCAAAAUAGCACCGUAUCUUCGGUAUAAGGUGUGGUUAGCUUUGUAUUAGGAUUUACUCCGAAAGCAAGGAAACUUACAACAAAGAGUCCCUCCCGACUGUUUACCAAAAACACAGCACUCUGCUAACUCGUAAGAGGAUGUAUAGGGUGUGACGCCUGCCCGGUGCUCGAAGGUUAAUUGAUGGGGUUAGCAUUAGCGAAGCUCUUGAUCGAAGCCCGAGUAAACGGCGGCCGUAACUAUAACGGUCCUAAGGUAGCGAAAUUCCUUGUCGGUUAAAUACCGACCUGCAUGAAUGGCGUAACGAGAUGGGAGCUGUCUCAAAGAGGGAUCCAGUGAAAUUGUAGUGGAGGUGAAAAUUCCUCCUACCCGCGGCAAGACGGAAAGACCCCGUGGACCUUUACUACAGCUUGACACUGCUACUUGGAUAAGAAUGUGCAGGAUAGGUGGGAGGCUUUGAGUAUAUGACGCCAGUUGUAUAUGAGCCAUUGUUGAGAUACCACUCUUUCUUAUUUGGGUAGCUAACCAGCUUGAGUUAUCCUCAAGUGGGACAAUGUCUGGUGGGUAGUUUGACUGGGGCGGUCGCCUCCCAAAUAAUAACGGAGGCUUACAAAGGUUGGCUCAGAACGGUUGGAAAUCGUUCGUAGAGUAUAAAGGUAUAAGCCAGCUUAACUGCAAGACAUACAAGUCAAGCAGAGACGAAAGUCGGUCUUAGUGAUCCGGUGGUUCUGUGUGGAAGGGCCAUCGCUCAAAGGAUAAAAGGUACCCCGGGGAUAACAGGCUGAUCUCCCCCAAGAGCUCACAUCGACGGGGAGGUUUGGCACCUCGAUGUCGGCUCAUCGCAUCCUGGGGCUGGAGCAGGUCCCAAGGGUAUGGCUGUUCGCCAUUUAAAGCGGUACGCGAGCUGGGUUCAGAACGUCGUGAGACAGUUCGGUCCCUAUCUGCCGUGGGCGUAAGAAGAUUGAAGAGAUUUGACCCUAGUACGAGAGGACCGGGUUGAACAAACCACUGGUGUAGCUGUUGUUCUGCCAAGAGCAUCGCAGCGUAGCUAAGUUUGGAAAGGAUAAACGCUGAAAGCAUCUAAGCGUGAAGCCAACUCUAAGAUGAAUCUUCUCUAAGCUCUCUAGAAGACUACUAGUUUGAUAGGCUGGGUGUGUAAUGGAUGAAAGUCCUUUAGCUGACCAGUACUAAUAGAGCGUUUGGCUUAUCUUU